GGCCACCGGGGGCUCUCUGUUAACCACCUCUCUGCUGAGGUCCAAACAGACCUUCGAUGGCCGUCAUGGCAAGGUCACUCAACGCCAAAUUCCUUUCCAUUCAGCCCCAGCUCCAGCUCCGGGACCAGCUGGGGCUCCUUUACUCCAAGUCAUGAUACCCCGAAGGUACAGGGACACGGCUGGAAGGAGCGAGCCCUCGGGGGCCCCUGGUGGGGUCCCCGGGGGUCCCGUCCUCACCCCUGCAAGCACGCAAGCAGAGCUCUCACCACAGGCGCUGCACUGCGGCUGGCGCCGGGGCAUCCAGCUGGCAGAGCUGUUUCCAUUUCUCUCACACGCCCCCAGAUGGGAAAUGAUUCAUGAAAACCAAGAAGGUAAAAUUAGCCCAAAGGCUGCCGAGUAAUUUAUGCAGCCAACAGGGCCAGGAGGGAGGGAAGGCCCACGCUGCCAGCUCAGUGUGGCCUCCCAGGGGCUGGCAGAGGCCAGCCUGGCCAUCGGGAGCCUCUGUCUCUGGGGUCUUCUAUUUCUGGACUCAGCCUCCAGGGCUGUCGGCAGGCCUUCCGGAACCAUCGCUGACCCCCGCCUCACCACACUCCACAGACCCGCAUGGCUGCCGCUGGGGACCUGCUAAGUGCCGGGGGCCUGCUGGGCAGAAGCUCGAGCAUUUCAUCGUGUCAACCCCAAGCCUUCCCAGGUGGGGAAUGAAUGUGCUUGAGAGCUCAGGUUCUGUGUGUCGAUGCAUAGAGAAUAUCCAGAAGGCUAUACGCCAAAGUAAUAACGGUGAUGAUUAACCCUGCGGAGGAGGCUGGAAUGUUGUGGUCAUCCAGGAAGAGAAUACUUAGCUGUUUAAAUAAUAUUUGACGUUUUUGCAACGAAAAGGUACAUUUGUAUAUUCCAUACACGAUUAAAACUUAGUAAAACAAUAUAAGAAAAGACACGGUGGGCUGCCUGGGGAACCAGUGAACUCCCUGUCCCUGGAAGUAUGAAAGCAUCCACACUGGGGUGGAGGGAUUCGAAAAAACAUGAAGGAAACAAGGGUAGGUGGGUUAGCUGGCCCUUCGGAACCUCAGAGCCUUAUCAGGGCAGCAGGAGCAAAGCCCUUAUUCUCCCUGCACCAAGAGUGGCUUUAAGGAAGCACAGAGCAUCGGACGCUAGAGGAGGGAGAGGCCGUGGACCCUCACCGUGACUUGGGCAGAGACGCACAGGCCAGUCUCUCCACCCCCCUUCCCCCCCAGGGACUCCUAGCUCUAGGCUCUCGAUCCCAGCAGCCCCCAGCCACUGGCCAGCAUGCCCGGUGUUAGCCUCAGACUCUCAGCGUAGGGGCUGUGUCUCUGGGAGGACCUCACGCUGGGGACAAGAAUUCAGGACAGAAGGAGGAGAAGAAAUGCUCAUAAAGCUGACCACCCCUGUGACACCGAGCCCAAGCCAUGGCCAUGGCCGCGGCCGCGUGGUGAGCCCUAAUCCACAACAGGCUGAGCCCCGGCCCCAGCCAGCCUCUGACCCCCGACAAUAUAAAAAGCAAAGGUCAGUGAAGCUCUUACCUCACCUGGCAAGACAGCAAUGAGAUCGAGACAAGAGCCAAGAGACAUGGUUCUGAGUCCCAGCACCUGCCCUUGACUUCUCCUAAGAGACCCUGGCAAAGUCACUGAGCCCCAUGGCACCUCAACCCUCUCGUCUGCACAAUGGGCGGAGGGUGGCUAACUCCCAAGCCGGCUGCGUAGCUGAAAUCAGACAUCGUCCACAUGGCCUCUUUGUGGACUCCCACAAAACGUAGGGCCCCAUCCAGGCCACGGAUACAGGGCACUGAGGAACGGAGGUGGCCACGACGGAGCUCCAAAAGCAGCUAGGCUUGCUGCAAAUCUGAAGCCCAGAGGCAGCCAGAAAGGGGCCCGUUUGUGGCCCCAGGCAGGGACCAGGAAGGAACACACGGAAGGAUUCUCCAGGCGGACAGAGACAAGGACGCGCGAGGAGACAGGAGCCAGCCUUCUCCCUGGACCUGUGGCCACACGCAGGCCCGGGCACACCACGGGCUGUUGCCAGCAGCCCCCAGACAGGGCGGGCUGGCUCCUCUCCUCCCCAGGCUGAGACCAUCGCAGCGACACUCACCUGGCUAGCCCCGGAUGGGACACCCACCGUCCGUCAUCGCCUCAACCGAGAGUUCACUCCUCAAGCCACACCCGCAGGCCUCAGCCCUGACCCAGCAGAGGGUGGGUGCGGGAAGCCACUUCAGGCGGCUGUCCACUGUUCACCUCCUGUUCGGACCCCACGCCAUCGCGCCCAGUGCCUGGUCAGCCCCCCACCUCAGCCUCAGACCUCGGCCUUCCCUCCUCCUGCCCACAUUCCCUGGCGUGGCUCUGGACUCCUUGGGGGCGGCCGGGACACCCCCUUUGACAGUUCAUGGCACGGGUAGCAUCAGGCCGCAGGGACACGAAGGCUCCACCAUGGCCAGCCAGCCACGACAGGUGCCAACCCACUGACCAGAGCAGCCUGGGAAGGCCUGCUGCUCACACCUGAGGAUUGAUUGCCUGCCCGUCCAGCCAGAAGGGACCCAGGGGCCACCAGGCACCAGCAGAAUCAUGGAGCUGGCUGCCUCAACUGGGACAAGGAUAGGCCGGCUCACCAACAACUUACCCCACUGGGCACCAAGAAACUGCCUUCCUGGAGGCUGAAGACCGAAAGGAAACACCACUUGGAUGGCCCCUUCGGUCGUUUAAAGCACCUCCUAAGCUGUGACUUUAUCUUCCACCUCAGGACCUCCGCCUCCAGAAUAGUCUUCAAGUCCUGACUCAGCCUGGCAUUCUGGGCCCUCCCGGUCGGGCUCCCAGAACUAUCUCCUCUACCUUUUCGCAAACACCCAAGACCACGUCCCUGAACCACCCGAUCCUCAGGCCGUCUGCCUUUGCACAUACUGUUCCCAGGGCCCGAACUUCCCUGCCUUCUUCCUCCCCCUGGCAAACUUCUACUCUCCCUUCGAGGUCCAGCUCUAUGUCGCUUCUUCCAGGAAGCCUAACGGGCUCUCCCUCUCCCACCCCUCCCCUCCCCGCCACAUCCCUGAGCAAGUAGGGCACUUCCCACCUUCAAUCACAGUUACGAUCUGGGCCAGAGCUCCUCACGCUAUUUGUGAAAGAGAUUUUUUUUUUUUUUAAGUUUUCCAAUCUGUUGCCAACUGAUGCUUUUGUAAGUUACAAUAAAGAAUGACACAGCAAUGUCAA